rnacentral:tRNA from 1 species
GCGCCCGUGGCUCAACUGGAUAGAGCGCUUGACUACGGAUCAAGAGGUUGGGGGUUCGAAUCCUCCCGGGCGCGCCA